GUCCCAAUUUGACCACUUUUGUUGAAGAGUCUAAGGAGCAAAAAGAUCCUGCAAAAUUCGUCACUUCAAACAUUUUCUUCCCAGAUUCAUUAUCAUUGGAAACAUUAAAGAUGUUGUAUAUGAAAAAUCAAGAUGUUGAGAAGCUUUGGCACAACAAUUAUCCUACCAAAUCAUUUUGUGAAAUGGAAUAUCUAACUUUGAGUAACAACAACAAAUUAUUGAAUGUCAUCUCUUCUAACAUGAUCAUAAGAUUUAACAAGUUGAAAAAAUUAACUUUGGAACAAUGUGAGGUAUUGACUGAGAUAUUUAACUUUGAAGAUGAUAAGCCAAAUGAUAAUAUCCAAGAACUUCUUCCUCAGUUACAGGAACUGGCAUUGAGUAACCUGAGAAGUUUCACAUGUGUUUGGAACAAGGAGCCUCAAGUUUCAUUUUUUCCAAAUUUAAUGUCACUUCACUUUGUUCAUUGUGGAGCCCUCCAAAGUCUAUUUUCAAUUUCUUCUACAAAAAAUCUUCAAAAUCUCAAAUCAUUGAAAUUGUGCAAUUGUGACAAAGUAAAGGAGGUAAUAUCUAUUGAUAAUCGAGAAGACAUGACAAUCAGUUUUCCAAAAAUGGAAUGUCUUGUACUCAAGGAUCUUCCAAAGUUUCUCAGUUUCUAUCAACAAAAGGGAACAAUUCAUUUACCUAACAUACAAAUUGUACAGGCAAGCAAUAUUCCAAGCAUGAAAACAUUUUCAGAAGGUAGAGUCAUCACCCCAUUGCUAAGAUCAAUACAUGUAACAUUUGUUAGGAAACUCUGGCUAGGAAAUUUAAACAAGACCUUAUCA
rnacentral:sRNA from 1 species